AAUGGAGGAAACUCUGACGCAGCCAUGCCGCGUGAGUGAAGAAGGCCCUAGGGUUGUAAAGCUCUUUCAGAUGCGAAGAUAAUGACGGUAACAUCAGAAGAAGCUCCGGCUAAAUUCGUGCCAGCAGCCGCGGUAAUACGAAUGGAGCGAGCGUUGUUCGGAAUCACUGGGCGUAAAGCGUAUGUAGGCGGAUAAGAAAGUCAGAAGUGAAAUCCCAGGGCUUAACCCUGGAACUGCUUUUGAAACUUCUUGUCUAGAGUCCCGGAGGGGUUGGCGGAAUUCCGAGUGUAGAGGUGAGAUUCGCAGAUAUUCGGAGGAACACCAGUGGCGUAGGCGGCCAACUGGACGGGAACUGACGCUGAGAUACGAAAGCGUGGGGAGCAAACAGGAUU
rnacentral:rRNA from 1 species